CAUCAGUUGGAAUCAUCUUACCAUUAUUACAGCAUGUUCGCCAAACUUAUGUUUGUGGCCGUUCUGGCCUUUGUCGUCUUGCUAGCUACUGCCGAGGCUGAUCCUGGAUUCUUCGGCGGUGGAGGCUACGGCGGAGGCGGUGGUGGCUAUGGAGGAGGCGGAGGAGGAGGCUAUGGAGGAGGAGGAGGAGGUGGAUAUGGUGGUGGUGGUCACAGACGACCAUUUGUCGUCUUCGGGUAGGGAGCAGAAGGUGAAGAUGUGAAUUCAGAUGGCACUCUGUACCACAUGCGAUUAUUCAAAAUUCCUUGAGAAAAGUUUAUGUUUGGUUGAAUUAUUUACAUUUGGACAAUCUGAAAACUAUUUUAUAUUAAUUUUUUGUGUGAAAUAAAACUCUUACGAGAAAUAA